UCAGGCCUAACACAUGCAAGUCGAGCGAGGACUUCGGUCCUAGCGGCGGACGGGUGAGCAACGCGUGGGAACGUGCCCUUUGCUUCGGAAUAGCCCUGGGAAACUGGGAGUAAUACCGGAUGAGCCCUACGGGGGAAAGAUUUAUCGGCGAAGGAUCGGCCCGCGUUGGAUUAGGUAGUUGGUGGGGUAAUGGCCUACCAAGCCGACGAUCCAUAGCUGGUUUGAGAGGAUGAUCAGCCACACUGGGACUGAGACACGGCCCAGACUCCUACGGGAGGCAGCAGUGGGGAAUCUUAGACAAUGGGGGAAACCCUGAUCUAGCCAUGCCGCGUGA
rnacentral:rRNA from 1 species